rnacentral:rRNA from 1 species
GACGAACGCUGGCGGCGUGCUUAACACAUGCAAGUCGAACGGUAAGGCCCUUCGGGGUACACGAGUGGCAAACGGGUGAGUAACACGUGGGUGAUCUGCCCUGCACUUCGGGAUAAGCCUGGGAAACUGGGUCUAAUACCGGAUAGGACCACUGCCUGCAUGGGUGGUGGGGGACAGCUUUUGCGGUGUGGGAUGGGCCCGCGGCCUAUCAGCUUGUUGGGGGGGUGAUGGCCUACCAAGGCGACGACGGGUAGCCGGCGUGAGAGGGGGACCGGCCACACUGUGACUGAGAUACGGCCCAGACUCCUACGGGAGGCAGCAGUGGGGAAUAUUGCACAAUGGGCGCAAGCCUGAUGCAGCGACGCCGCGUGAGGGAUGACGGCCUUCGGGUUGUAAUCCUCUUUCAGCACCGACGAAGCGCAAGUGACGUUAGGUGCAGAAGAAGGACCGGCCAACUACGUGCCAGCCGCCGCGGUAA